rnacentral:lncRNA from 1 species
UCCACUGAUGAAGCAUGGGAGUCUUCUCCAUUGAACAAGGUGAAGUUUGGCACCUUGAAACCCUGGGAUAGAGGUAUUUGAUCAAUAUAAGCUGGAUAUGGCAUUCUGUAAGUGGGCCUCUCUCCUCCUCUGGCUUCAGGCUCCAUCAUCUCCCUGAUCAUUCUCUGUAGUGUCCCCAUGUCAUUCAAAGCAUUGACAGGGUGUAGAUUUCGUCCCUGUUUUGGCUGGAUGUGUUGAAUCUCAUGCUCCAUUCUGUAUGGCCCGG